rnacentral:rRNA from 2 species
AACAAUUAGCGGCGGACGGGUGAGUAACACGUGGGCAACCUGCCUAUAAGACUGGGAUAACUUCGGGAAACCGGAGCUAAUACCGGAUAUGUUCUUCUCUCGCAUGAGAGAAGAUGGAAAGACGGUCUCGGCUGUCACUUAUAGAUGGGCCCGCGGCGCAUUAGCUAGUUGGUGAGGUAAUGGCUCACCAAGGCAACGAUGCGUAGCCGACCUGAGAGGGUGAUCGGCCACACUGGGACUGAGACACGGCCCAGACUCCUACGGGAGGCAGCAGUAGGGAAUCUUCCGCAAUGGACGAAAGUCUGACGGAGCAACGCCGCGUGAACGAUGAAGGCUUUCGGGUCGUAAAGUUCUGUUGUUAGGGAAGAACAAGUACCAGAGUAACUGCUGGUACCUUGACGGUACCUAACCAGAAAGCCACGGCUAACUACGUGCCAGCAGCCGCGGUAAUACGUAGGUGGCAAGCGUUAUCCGGAAUUAUUGGGCGUAAAGCGCGCGCAGGUGGUUCCUUAAGUCUGAUGUGAAAGCCCCCGGCUCAACCGGGGAGGGUCAUUGGAAACUGGGGAACUUGAGUGUAGAAGAGGAAAGUGGAAUUCCAC